CCUACGGGUGGCAGCAGUAGGGAAUAUUGCUCAAUGGGGGAAACCCUGAAGCAGCAACGCCGCGUGGAGGAUGAAGGUUUUCGGAUUGUAAACUCCUUUUGUUAGAGAAGAUAAUGACGGUAUCUAACGAAUAAGCACCGGCUAACUCCGUGCCAGCAGCCGCGGUAAUACGGAGGGUGCAAGCGUUACUCGGAAUCACUGGGCGGAAAGAGCGCGUAGGCGGGAUAGCAAGUCAGAUGUGAAAUCCUAUGGCUUAACCAUAGAACUGCAUUUGAAACUGGUAUUCUAGAGUAUGGGAGAGGUAGGUGGAAUUCUUGGUGUAGGGGUAAAAUCCGUAGAGAUCAAGAGGAAUACUCAUUGCGAAGGCGACCUGCUAGAACAUAACUGACGCUGAUGCGCGAAAGCGUGGGGGGCAAACAGGAUUAGAUACCCGAGUAGUC
rnacentral:rRNA from 1 species